rnacentral:rRNA from 1 species
UACGUAGGGGGCAAGCGUUGUCCGGAAUCAUUGGGCGUAAAGCGCGUGUAGGCGGUUCGGUAAGUCGGCUGUGAAAGUCCAGGGCUCAACCCUGGGAUGCCGGUCGAUACUGCCGGACUAGAGUCCGGAAGAGGCAAGUGGAAUUCCCGGUGUAGCGGUGAAAUGCGCAGAUAUCGUAAGGAAGACCAGUGGCGAAGGCGGGUCUCUGGACAGUUCCUGACGCUGAGGCACGAAGGCCAGGGGAGCAAACGGG